ACUGUUUUUUAAAAGGRUUUAAAACUAAUUGCUUUCUUUUUUUUGUUGUUUUUUUAAAGAUUGUGACUAAAAGAGCUCUCAGAAACACCACCAUCUCAAUGCAUGCCACUGUUAACACAGUCACAGAACAACGUACUGAAGGACAACCUAAAGCACCUGUGAAAACUGUCUGACUACGAUAUCAGAUAAUUCCAGAAGACACUGAAGCCACAAAAACACUAAGUAGGCACAUCUUCAGAACGUCUGACACUGGCCACUCUAAGAUCAAAGGCGGCCACAAAUGUGUCAUGGACUUAAUUAAAAAGACUUAUGUAUUUAAAAUAAGAUGUACCAAAGAAAAAUGUCAAUAGAAAAGAAAUACCCCAGCAACCAUGAAUGUAUACAGAGAAGGCUGGCUCAAAAGCCAACCGUACCCUUCACAGCUUUGUAACUUAUUAACGCUUUGUGUCUGAUUAGCUUUCCACAUUCUGCAUCUUGACCCUGGGAAGAAUGAGCACACUGGUGAUGACAGCAGCGCUUGCUACCUUGUUUACACAGAGUAAAGAAAAGGUGACCACUUUUUUUUUUUUUUUUUUAAAAAGAAACCAGUAUAUGCACACAGAGAACAGAGGAAACAAUAAGCAGUGGACGUUUUCUCUACAGUGGAAAGGGACUCCCUCCAYGCUUCCUCCUGAAAGUCAGAUUACCACCUGACAAAGUUAAGAAGAAACCCAAAGAAUGUUUCCAUGUGUGAUUGGACUGUUCCUCAUCUCUAAUUUUAUUAUUUAAGAUCAGAAGAUAUAUAGCAUCAUGGGGCACAGGCAGACAUCUUCCAUAUGUGAGAAAUAAAACACACUGACAAUUUUAUGGAAGAUAUGUC
rnacentral:lncRNA from 1 species